rnacentral:rRNA from 1 species
GUACGAGUUUGAUCCUGGCUACAGGAUGAACGCUAGCUACAGGCUUAACACAUGCAAGUCGAGGGCAGCACAGUGUAGCAAUACAGUGGGUGGCCGACCGGCGCACGGGUGCGUAACGCGUAUCCAACCUUCCCGUUACUCAGGGAUAGCCUUCCGAAAGGGAGAUUAAUACCUGAUGGUGUUGAAAUUCCGCAUGUUAUUUCAACUAAAGAUUUAUCGGUAACGGAUGGGGAUGCGUGACAUUAGGUAGAUGGCGGGUAACGGCCCACCAUGCCUACGAUGUCUAGGGGUUCUGAGAGGAAGGUCCCCCACACUGGAACUGAGACACGGUCCAGACUCCUACGGGAGGCAGCAGUGAGGAAUAUUGGUCAAUGGUCGGAAGACUGAACCAGCCAAGUAGCGUGAAGGAUGAAGGUUCUAUGGAUUGUAAACUUCUUUUAUACGGGAAUAAAACCUCCCACGUGUGGGAGCUUGUAUGUACCGUAUGAAUAAGCAUCGGCUAACUCCGUG